UACGUAGGGGGCAAGCGUUGUCCGGAAUCAUUGGGCGUAAAGGAGCGUGUAGGCGGUCCGGUCAGUCGGUUGUGAAAGGUCAACGGGCUCAACCCUUGAAUGCCGGCCGAUACUGCCGGGCGUAGAGUCCGGAAGAGGUGAGUGGAAUUCCUGGUGUAGCGGUGAAAUGCGCAGAUAUCAGGAGGAACACCGGUGGCGAAGGCGGAUCUCUGGGCCUUACCUGACGCUGAGGCGACGAAAGCUAGGGGAGCGAACAGG
rnacentral:rRNA from 1 species